UGAAAGUUACUUCGGUACAUCGGUGACAGGUGGUGCAUGGUUGUCGUCAGCUCGUGUCGUGAGAUGUUGGGUUAAGUCCCGCAACGAGCGCAACCCCUAUUGUUAGUUGCCAUCAUUCAGUUGGGCACUCUAGCGAGACUGCCGGUAAUAAACCGGAGGAAGGUGGGGAUGACGUCAAAUCAUCAUGCCCCUUAUGACCUGGGCUACACACGUGCUACAAUGGUUGGUACAACGAGUUGCGAGUCGGUGACGGCGAGCUAAUCUCUUAAAGCCAAUCUCAGUUCGGAUUGUAGGCUGCAACUCGCCUACAUGAAGUCGGAAUCGCUAGUAAUCGCGGAUUAGCACGCCGCGGUGAAUACGUUCCCGGGCCUU
rnacentral:rRNA from 1 species